rnacentral:rRNA from 1 species
CCUACGGGAGGCAGCAGUAAGGAAUAUUGGACAAUGGCCGCAAGGCUGAUCCAGCCAUGCCGCGUGCAGGAAGAAGGCCCUAUGGGUCGUAAACUGCUUUUGAACCAGAGAAAACCCCACUACGUGUAGUGGGCUGAUAGUAUGGUUAGAAUAAGCAUCGGCUAACUUCGUGCCAGCAGCCGCGGUAAGACGAAGGAUGCAAGCGUUAUCCGGAUUCAUUGGGUUUAAAGGGAGCGUAGGCGGACUUGUAAGUCAGUGGUGAAAUCUGUGGGCUUAACCCACAAACUGCCAUUGAUACUGCAGGUCUAGAGUACAGUUGCCGUUGGCGGAAUAUGACAUGUAGUGGUGAAAUACUUAGAUAUGUCAUAGAACACCGAUUGCGAAGGCAGCUAACGAAGCUGUAACUGACGCUGAGGCUCGAAAGUNCGGGGAUCAAACAGGAUUAGAUACCCUGGUAGUCCGCACUAGUAACGUAUAGUAUACUCGUUGUCGUGGUAAGACGUACUUUACUAGU